rnacentral:lncRNA from 1 species
GAGACUCUGGCCUUGACUGCUUCAAAUUGGGCUGCAUUUCUGAGGGUUCUGCUUCAGUGUCAUGGCUGCCCCCCCAGGGGCCGGGGUCCCCAAGUUCAGAACCCUUGAAUCAGUACUAUUUCCCUCUGCUCUUUCCCCUCCUUCCUGUCCCCAUCUCUCAAAAGCCUUCUUGUGAGGCACAGACAACCCAGCAGGACCUCCUGCAUGAAGAGGGAAGGCAGGGACACUACAGGUGUGUAGGGAAACUCCUGAGUGUGCAAACCAAGGUUCCGAGCCGGACAAAGGAGGAGUGAGCUGGGGUGUCAUCGUGGUAGACAGCUGGCCACGGGGUCUGACCGAAGCUGCACAAAGUUCAUAGGACACAGCAGCAGCGGGCACAUCUUCUCGUGCUCCUUCAGCACCUCGCUCAGGACUCUUUCUUCCUUUCCAAGAGGGACUGCAGAAAGAGGCCAUCUUAGGAAGACCACCCCAGAACUCUGUCCAGAGCAGCAGCCUCCUUUCCUCCCUCCUGCAGGCUGUCCUGGAUCAGUCUGGCCUCACCCAUGCAAGUCCACCUACAGAUCCAGUGCCCUACACUCUAACCAGCUGAAGUCCUGGCGUUCCGAUCCCGUGCCCUGCACCUGUGCAUGAGACAGAAGGCAGAAAAGAACAGUCCCAGCAAGCUACGUCACUGCAUUUCAGUUUUCACUGGAUUCCAUACUCCACACAACCCUUCUAUAGUUCCUGAGUCUGCAGCAAGAUGCUUGGGACUUCUGAGCUUUGUCUCUGGCAUCCUGAGGGAUGCUUAGCCUGAUUCCAACCUGAGGUGCCAUGGUUUGCUCAGGGUUGUUUGGCCCCUGCCUCCUCCAGAGAAUCUGGUCUCAGCUGCCCCCAUUCUCUU